GAAAAAUGUUAACAGCAAAACCGUUUUUUAUGGACUUCACAUACACGACCAGGCAGGAUUCUUUUGCAUUUGAGUGGUAGAGCAGUCAUCGUUAGAGUGUAAUCAAAAUGCAAAAACUAACAUAAAGUAUCGAGACUCAAUAAUACUGCGAUAUGCACAGCAAAAAUCAUUAGUUCAAAGGUGAAGGCGGCGCGAAAUUUUGCUUUGGCCUCCGCAGCCAUAAUUGCACCAACACGCUUCUGCAAGGACGUCUUGCAAAUGGAACUUACAAUGCUAAAACAGGAACUUGAAAGGAUGAAAGAGGAAGUUAAAGUAAAUAAGGCAAUUAUGAAAAAAAGGAAGAAUGACAAAGACUUAAGUAAAAAGAUAAGAGAUAAACUUAAAAUGAUGAAUUACAAAUUGAUAAAGACAAUGAGUGGCAUUGAGAAAGACAGGUUUUAAAAAAUCCAAAGCCAUUACUAGACUUCAAUUUAGAAAUGGGGUGUGUAUUAGUACAUUAAAAUGUACCUGGUUGAUUUCUUUACGGAAUGAAAUUCAUUUAAAAACCAAAUAGAUCACUCGCAAUAAAUAAAGUACUUUAAGUCACCUGUAACUGAGUUUAUGAUGAUAUGGGAAAUACAAUGGCGUAGCCAACUUGUAAAUUUGUGACAAAAAUUUUAAAUUGACGUUAUAUAUGUCGACAUUGUAUAUACGUUAUAUAUAUUGACAUCAUAUUUGAAUUGUUA